AGGGCUGCCGAAAGCUACCACGCGGUGUGGAGCAUAUAAAUCAUUCUCCAGGCCUUUUUCAUGAGCUGACUAAAGACCACACAAAUCUCAUAGACUGCGACCAACAGUCAGGCUCAUAUAGGUCGUACUUCACGGGAUCUCCGAUCACAUAGGCUGGUUUACCGCCAUGGUAACUCACGUGGGUCGCAACCCCAUCUCCCUUGAUGCAGAUUCUAUCACAUUCCUUGAUAGACCCUUCGUAAAGGGACUGCCAGAUUUUUAGCCGUUGGGAUAUACCCCAAUGCUAUUAUUCCGGCAUUUCUCAUUGCUCUGACAGAUUUCAGACGUCUUCUGACAUGUCUUGAUGAUUUCAUGUUGUCUUUAGAACUGUUCACUUUGACUAUCACAGUUUGAUUGUCACAGUUUAUAAGAAUUGCCGGUACAGGUUUUUCAACAAA